ACGUUAGUGGUACAAAGGAUAGAGCACGCACUUCCGGGCAAGGUGAAAUGUGGGUUCAAGCCUCAUCUGACGUA